UGGGGGGACAGUGGCAGUGCAACUUCUCUUCAGUUUACCAUUGACCUUUGACACCUUUUCUCCAAGUGGGAAGUUGCUUAACUUCUCUGGGCCUCAUUUCUCCCAUCUCUAACUUGAGAAUGACACAUGUUUAUGAAGAACAUAUGAGAUAUUGGCUGAGCAGAUUUCUGAGCUCCAGAAACUGUGGUGGGUGGCUCCGAGGUGAGGAAUCCACCUGCCAGUGUAGGAGACAUGGGUUCAACCCCUGAUCCAGGAAGAUCCCACAUGCUGCGGAGCAGUUAAGCCUGUGCUCUAGAGCCCCGGAGCCGCGACUACUACAUGCAGCAACUACUGAAGCCCACGUGUCCUAGAGCUCGUGCUCAGCGACAAGUGAAGCCACCUUGAUAAGAAGCCCGUGCACCACAACCAGAGAGCAGCCCCUGCUUGCUGGAACUAGAGAAAAGCCCUCAAUGCAAGGAAGACACAGCACAGCCAAAAAUAAACAAACAAACAUUAUUUUUAAAAAAGAAACUGUAGUGAGCAAGGCAAACAUCAAGCAUUCCUAUUCUUUCACUCAGUUUCGUUUUCAUUAUUAUAUCAGGUGGAAAACCCAGUCGGUCUGCUUGCUGCUGCUGCUGCUGCUGCUAGUUCCCAUCCACCCCACCCUACCCCCCAGACCCCCACACAUACACUGUCUGGAAAAGUGGGGGAGUGCCAACAGUUCAGGUUCCUCUGCCAAUGAGCCAAUGCUCAUGUGCCCCCGAGGCAGCCUGUGGAUGCCAGAGUUGAUGGUGGAGUUCUGAACUGUGCCAUCUGCAGCUGCUGUGUUCCUCCACCGUAUGCUCUGGUUCUGCCUCUCGCCCAUUCUCCUUCCAGACUUGAGUGAGCCUGUGGCUGGCAGGAGGGCAGGGAGUUCCAUAGGAGUGGUGCUGAGAACUCUCCUCAUCUCCUUUCUCUGGCACGAAUUGGUGUGUUGCUAAAAAAAAUAUUGCCUUUGCAAUUCAGCUUUGUAUUCUCCUAUGGAGAGAAGUGAACAGCUGUGGUCAUGAACUUCCAAAGGCCUCCAAAGAAGUUUAAGAAACAGAUUACACGCCUUCUUGCUGGUGAGGGAAGGGGAGGAACGCCUCUAAUCCAAGGGUCUAAUUCAGAAGCAGUGAAGAUCUCCAGUGUUCUCCUUGAGUCUAGUGUGUGCUUAGUCGCUCAGUUGUGUCCAGUUCUUUGCAACCUCAUGGGCUGUAGCCCACCAGGCUCCUCUGUCCAUGGGGAUUCUCCA
rnacentral:lncRNA from 1 species